rnacentral:rRNA from 1 species
GAUGAACGCUGGCGGCGUGCCUAAUACAUGCAAGUCGAGCGAACAGAUGAGGAGCUUGCUCCUCUGACGUUAGCGGCGGACGGGUGAGUAACACGUGGAUAACCUACCUAUAAGACUGGGAUAACUUCGGGAAACCGGAGCUAAUACCGGAUAAUAUAUUGAACCGCAUGGUUCAAUAGUGAAAGACGGUUUUGCUGUCACUUAUAGAUGGAUCCGCGCCGCAUUAGCUAGUUGGUAAGGUAACGGCUUACCAAGGCAACGAUGCGUAGCCGACCUGAGAGGGUGAUCGGCCACACUGGAACUGAGACACGGUCCAGACUCCUACGGGAGGCAGCAGUAGGGAAUCUUCCGCAAUGGGCGAAAGCUUGACGGAGCAACGCCGCGUGAGUGAUGAAGGUCUUCGGAUCGUAAAACUCUGUUAUUAGGGAGGAACAAAUGUGUAAGUAACUAUGCACGUCUUGACGGUACCUAAUCAGAAAGCCACGGCUAACUACGUG